rnacentral:rRNA from 1 species
ACAGUGGACGCGAGCAUCUGUGGCCAAGUUUUUAAGGGCGCACGGUGGAUGCCUUGGCACCAGGAACCGAUGAAGGACGUGGGAGGCCACGAUAGUCCCCGGGGAGCUGUCAACCAAGCUUUGAUCCGGGGGUUUCCGAAUGGGGAAACCCGGCAGUCGUCAUGGGCUGUCACCCGCUGCUGAACACAUAGGCAGUGUGGAGGGAACGAGGGGAAGUGAAACAUCUCAGUACCCUCAGGAAGAGAAAACAACCGUGAUUCCGGGAGUAGUGGCGAGCGAAACUGGAUGAGGCCAAACCGUAUGCGUGUGAUACCCGGCAGGGGUUGCGUAUGCGGGGUUGUGGGAGUUCUCUUUUACAGUCUGCCGGCUGUGAGGCGAGUCAGAAACCGUUGAUGUAGGCGAAGGACAUGCGAAAGGUCCGGCGUAGAGGGUAAGACCCCCGUAGCUGAAACAUUGACGGCUCGUUUGAGAAUCACCCAAGUAGCACGGGGCCCGAGAAAUCCCGUGUGAAUCUGGCGGGACCACCCGCUAAGCCUAAAUAUUCCCUGGUGACCGAUAGCGGAUAGUACCGUGAGGGAAUGGUGAAAAGUACCGCGGGAGCGGAGUGAAAUAGUACCUGAAACCGUGUGCCUACAAGCCGUGGGAGCGUCGCGCAUCGAGCUUGCUCGGUGCGUCGUGACUGCGUGCCUUUUGAAGAAUGAGCCUGCGAGUUAGCGGUGUGUAGCGAGGUUAACCCGUGUGGGGAAGCCGUAGCGAAAGCGAGUCCGAACAGGGCGAAUUAGUUGCACGCUCUAGACCCGAAGCGGAGUGAUCUAGCCAUGGGCAGGUUGAAGCGGAGGUAAGACUUCGUGGAGGACCGAACCCACCAGGGUUGAAAACCUGGGGGAUGACCUGUGGUUAGGGGUGAAAGGCCAAUCAAACUCCGUGAUAGCUGGUUCUCCCCGAAAUGCAUUUAGGUGCAGCGUCGUGUGUUUCUUGCCGGAGGUAGAGCACUGGAUAGGCGAUGGGCCCUACCGGGUUACUGACCUUAGCCAAACUCCGAAUGCCGGUAAGUGAGAGCGCGGCAGUGAGACUGUGGGGGAUAAGCUCCAUGGUCGAGAGGGAAACAGCCCAGAGCAUCGACUAAGGCCCCUAAGCGUACGCUAAGUGGGAAAGGAUGUGGAGUCGCAGAGACAACCAGGAGGUUGGCUUAGAAGCAGCCACCCUUGAAAGAGUGCGUAAUAGCUCACUGGUCAAGUGAUUCCGCGCCGACAAUGUAGCGGGGCUCAAGCGUACCGCCGAAGUCGUGUCAAUCCAGCAUGAAGGGCUAACGCCUGUUGGGUUGGGUAGGGGAGCGUCGUGUGCCGGGUGAAGCAGCCGUGGAAGCGAGUUGUGGACGGUUCACGAGUGAGAAUGCAGGCAUGAGUAGCGAUACACACGUGAGAAACGUGUGCGCCGAUUGACUAAGGGUUCCUGGGUCAAGCUGAUCUGCCCAGGGUAAGUCGGGACCUAAGGCGAGGCCGACAGGCGUAGUCGAUGGACAACCGGUUGAUAUUCCGGUACCCGCUUUGAAACGCCCAGUACUGAAUCAGGCGAUGCUAAGUCCGUGAAGCCGGCCGAUCUCUUCGGAGUUGAGGGUAGUGGUGGAGCCGAUGAACCAGACUUGUAGUAGGUAAGCGAUGGGGUGACGCAGGAAGGUAGUCCAGCCCGGGCGGUGGUUGUCCCGGGGUAAGGGUG